AACGACUCUCGGCAACGGAUAUCUCGGCUCACGCAUCGAUGAAGAACGUAGCAAAAUGCGAUACUUGGUGUGAAUUGCAGAAUCCCGUGAACCAUCGAGUUUUUGAACGCAAGUUGCGCCCGAAGCCAUUCGGCCGAGGGCACGUCUGCCUGGGCGUCACGCAUC
rnacentral:rRNA from 1 species